AUGAGCAUGAAUCGAUUGUGAAAUUGUAUUUACGUGACUUUAUGAACAUUUGUUCAAGUUUUUUGGCAGAGGGGUAAGUAACUGAAAGGCUACUCCAGUCUAUAUUUCCUCCGAGGGCGCUGCCUUUUUACGACCAUUGAAUGGAAAUUGUAGACUUGAAAUACGAGUAGAUUAAAUUUCGUGUAUUUUUAGCAUCAGAAAGAACUUCGCUAGGGUUUACUUAUAUGAAAUAGUUUUGAAUAUUUAUUCCAAAUAACAUGAGUACAGAUGUAGUGGGAAAAGAUUUGCCUUACAUGACAAAUACGAAGGAAACCCUUUUCGCACUACAUAUGUAAUUCAGUCAGUAGUAGUUAUUCUAAUGAUAUCAGUACUAAUUACUUUAAUCAAAAUUCGUGUAAAUAUAACCAUUGCUUAUAUUUGUACUGCAUUAGUUAGAUUAUUUGAUGUACAAGUUAUUUUCUGUAGACAAUAGGCAUGAAUUCGCGGGUUCAAUGUUAUCAUAAGUGAAAACAACCUUGUAUUGUAAAUUGUAACAUAACAUAAUUCACAAUUUGUGAGUGUGUUUGACUCUUAUUUCUGAAGUCUAAGAUAACGAAAAGAUUUUCCGAGUAAAUGGAAGCGUGUAAUAUAUCUUUGGACUGAAGAGCAAUUGCUUUUCGGUUAAGUAAUAUACGUUAUGGUGGUCUCCUGGAUUGAAGUAUGAGCUAUUGUAUUUUAUUAAUUAUUAGAAAUAUGUUUUAACUAAGAUAUGCCAUUUUAUUUUAUUAAUAUUAUUUUGGGUUAAUUAACGUAAAUCAUGUUAUAUGUAGGUAAUGCACCUGUCGAAACCGAGCGGAUAUUCGCAGCAUACGCUUCAAUGAUGCAUAUGAAACGGGAUAACAUAAAUAUAAGUAAUGUAAAACUGUUUUUAUUUAAAAUUAUGAUGUGUGUCGAUUAAAUUAUGUGUAAGCAUA